AGCAUUAGAGGAUAGAAAUGGCAGCUAUCGCACAUUGUUAUGAGAUGCAGGAAUUGUCGCCCUGCCUAAUGCU
ncrna:unclassified sequences skipping-rope RNA